rnacentral:lncRNA from 1 species
UUGCCGCAAUGUUGUUCAAAUUAAAGCUUGUGAGUUCCAACUGAACUCAUUUUGUUUUCUACUAAAUUUUUGAAAGAAGUGUCACACUUGCAAUUAGGUGGUGGCAAUAGUACUUAAUACACUAGAAAAAGUUUAGUAUCACUUACGAUAUCAAAAGAAUUUUGUGUGUGUAUAUAGCAAAGUCUGAACUGCUCAAUAAUACUUGUGAAAUGUCUUAGGUAUUGGUAUUUAGGCCCUACUAGGCAAUGGUGGAGACCAUGUAUU